rnacentral:lncRNA from 1 species
AGGAGGAGAAAGCAUAAGAGUUAGAAAGAUAAGAGAUCGACACAGUGAAGCUUGGCUGCGAAGUCGUUCUGCUCCUGAAGAGGAAUUAAACUAAAACUGACUGAGACCAUAAACUGAGGAGGAGGAGGGACGUUUUCCCAUAGACUUCAGGCAGUUGGAGCUGGACUGUCUGACAGAUGGAGCUUCCUUUCCUGUCUUUUUAUUUCCUUUAUAAACACAAAAUGCAUAAACAAAGUUCUCCAACACCAGUCAGCAGGUGGAAAAGUUUCGUCAGUGUCUCGGUCGCCUCGGCAGGCUGUAAUGAGCGUUAAUGAGACGGAAACAGUACCUGAUGUAAUGAGCCCAGAGGGACCGCACUGAUCACGGCUCCAGGGAAACACAACAACAACACAACUUUAUCUACACAGCAACUUGUGAGAGAGACUGGUCAAUGAGUCAGCAAAGCUGGAGCGGUCCUCCAUUCGCAGCAGAUUACAGCCCAGGACUUAGACAAUAAUCGACCUGAACUCUGUCCAGCAGCUUCGCUGCAACACAUACACACAUUCACUGCAGUGCUCAAGUCAGAUUACUGAAGUCUAUGGGAAAAUGUCCCUUCUCCUCCCUCCUCCCUGUUGGUGUGAGUCUUAGAAAGGCAACAAAUCUACAGGAUGUUUCAUACAUUUACAUUUAUUCAUCUGUCA